AAAGCCGAGGUCCAGAUGGUUGACAUCAUCUAUCUACAGUCAGCAGCUAGAGGGGAUGAAGCCAGAGUUGAGAUGUGACACCCGAGCCUGGACUCAGCUGUGCUUUCCGGCUGUCUCCCCAGGAAGAGCGAAGAACUGGGAAGGCGACUUUGUGUUCCAGCUGCCAUAUUGUAGCCG
rnacentral:lncRNA from 1 species